rnacentral:rRNA from 1 species
AGUGAACGCUGGCGGUAGGCCUAACACAUGCAAGUCGAACGGCAGCACAGUAAGAGCUUGCUCUUACGGGUGGCGAGUGGCGGACGGGUGAGGAAUACAUCGGAAUCUACUUUUUCGUGGGGGAUAACGUAGGGAAACUUACGCUAAUACCGCAUACGACCUACGGGUGAAAGCAGGGGAUCUUCGGACCUUGCGCGAUUGAAUGAGCCGAUGUCGGAUUAGCUAGUUGGCGGGGUAAAGGCCCACCAAGGCGACGAUCCGUAGCUGGUCUGCGAGGAUGAUCAGCCAAACUGGAACUGAGACACGGCCCAGACUCCUACGGGAGGAAGCAGUGGGGAAUAUUGGACAAUGGGCGCAAGCCUGAUCCAGACAUACCGCGUGGGUGAAGAAGGCCUUCGGGUUGUAAAGCCCUUUUGUUGGGAAAGAAAAGCAGCAGGUUAAUACCCCGCUGUUCUGACGGUAACCAAAGAAUAAGCACCGGCUAACUUCGUG